rnacentral:tRNA from 1 species
GUAAAUAUAGUUUAAAAAAAACACUAGAUUGUGAAUCUAGUAACAGGAGAUAAAUCCCCUUAUUUACC